CCAUCUACUUAACCAAACCCUCCUAUGAAGACGUCAUCAAAACUUCUGGUCAUGUUACCUGUUUAGUUUUGGGUUAUGACUUAGCAGCCAGCAGAAUCGCAUGGAAAGUGGAUGGGCAAGUCAGCUCUGCGGCGAAGACAGAACCCCCCCAAAAAACAACAAUGGGACCACCAGCCUGGUCGGUUCUCACCCUGUGUCACUGGCCCAAUGGGGACAAGGCACCAUAUUUACCUGCAAAGUGACCACACCCUGUUCUGGAGAACUAACCCAGGACAUAAGCAUGAGCAAUACAGGCAUCAGUGAGAAGGAGCCCUCAGUCACUGUCUCCCAAGCCUACCACAAAGACAUCUCCGGGAACAGAGUCUCCUUGACUCUCAUCUGCGAAGCUAGUGGCUUUUACCCUGAAGAGAUCAGCAUGUCAUGGUUGAAGAAUAACUCCCCGGAACUCAAGUCCAGUUACAACCAUGGCCCCGUGUCAGGAAGUGGCACUUUCUCUGCCUACAGCAUCCUGAAGGUUGAGCAAAGUCAAGGAGAAGGAAAUUACACCUGCGUGGUGCAUCACCCAGCCAUGGAAGAGCCCAAGAGGUUGUGCAAAAGGUGUCCCUCGGUGUCAGCAACUGUAAUCGACACCCUCUGGAGGUCUCUCUCCUUCCCCCUUCCCUGGAGGACCUCUACAUAGGGCAGAACGCCACCAUCAGUUGUUUGGUGAGUGGCAUGGAAACCUCCGGCAGCCUGGAGG